GCAGUCUGCAACUCGACUGCAUGAAGCUGGAAUCGCUAGUAAUCGCGAAUCAGCAUGUCGCGGUGAAUACGUUCCCGGGUCUUGUACACACCGCCCGUCACACCAUGGGAGUUGGGAAUGCCCGAAGCCGGUGACCUAACCGAAAGGGAGGAGCCGUCGAAGGCAGGCUUGAUAACUGGGGUGAAGUCGUAACAAGGUACC
rnacentral:rRNA from 1 species